GGACAGACUCAGAGGCAUGGAAUCUGCAUCCUCUGAGGGUAACCACUAAAAGAGAUGUCACUGACAAUAGAGUAGAUUCUACCACAGCUGUCUGAAGGCAGAAACAUUACAAAAUCAACUUUUCAGCAAAUGGAAAAGAGAAGGGACAAGCCAGUUGGACUUGACUUAUUCAAGAAAUACCUCACCACUCACUUUGUACGGGUAACCAAAGUACCAAGCAUGAUGUCUUGUCACAAGUAGAAGAGAUUUUGACAUAAUAUAGCUGGGAAAGAAAAGAGUGGCAACCCAGAAGAUACAUAUAUAUGUCAAACUCCAGAUCCUCCUGCAACAAAAUCAUUGCUUUUCUUUCUUUCUAGAACAAAUUGAAAUUAACUCAACUGGCCUAAAUCAGUUUGGAUUGUACUUAAGACCUGUGGAUUAAGUGAAUCUUUUUCUGAAAUAAUCCCAAGUAAUAAUCCCAUUACAAGUAAUGGACAAAAAAAAAUCAUUCUAUGUCUUAAUCUCAUUACUCUGUACCUCAAUAUGUUCUAAUUCAGAUAGGAUCUAUAAAUAAAUAUCAUGAAUAAAUACGUAUAGGGAGACU
rnacentral:lncRNA from 1 species